UACGUAGGUCGCAAGCGUUGUCCGGAUUUACUGGGCGUAAAGAGCGCGCAGGCGGCUGGUCAAGUCCGAUGUGAAAUCUCCCGGCUCAACUGGGAAACUGCAUCGGAAACUGAUCGGCUUGAAGGUGGGAGAGGGUAGUGGAAUUCCCGGUGUAGUGGUGAAAUGCGUAGAUAUCGGGAGGAACACCAGUGGCGCAGGCGGCGUCCUGGACCGGCACUGACGCUGAGGAGCGAAAGCGUGGGGAGCGAUCCGG
rnacentral:rRNA from 1 species